CGGAAGUGGUAGUGGUAGUAAAAAGUGAAUUACUGGUGGUAGAGGUAGUUCAAGUAGUAGAUAUGCCCGUGUGCCUUCGGUACCGCUUCGUCAACAUUUUGAGGAAGAAGUAGGUGUAGGUGCUCACGACAUGAAUUAUGUAGAAGCUCAAAAAAAUUACGGUAUAGAAGAAGAAAAUGAAGUAGAUGUGGUUGAUUUAGAUGAAAAUGAUGAAAAGAUUGGUAAGACACCCGCAAUAGGAAAUGGUAACGUUAGAUCUAAAUCGAUUAAUCGCUCCCCCCG
rnacentral:lncRNA from 1 species